GCCACCCGAGGCAGGAGAGGGCUGAGCGGGUGUGUGACGUCUCGCGACGCCACUGAGAGCAGGAGUGGGCGGGGCUAGCGUGCAGGGACUGUCCGCGGCCGGGCGUGGCCCCUUGUGACGUCACCGCGGAGGCGUGAGCCGGGCGGGCGGGAUUUGUGGAGCGGGCUGGCUCCGGGCUGGGAGCGCCUGGGCCUGUGGGCCGCCUUGCGACACGCCUCCCUGCGAACAUCUAGAGGACUGACCAUGGAUGGUGACAUAGUGUCUCUACAACCAGAGAUAGACAUCAGGAGACCACAUGUCAGCCUGUGCUCCCCUGGCCCUUUACCCAAUUCUUAUUUUAAGUGCACUUCUCCUCUGAGGCUGCCUGAACUCCCAUGUCUUCAAGUGUGUAUUUUGCUUUAAAUAAAACCUUCUUGCUGCUCAA